GACGAACGCUGGCGGCGUGCCUAAUACAUGCGAGUAGAACGCACAGUUUAUACCGUAGCUUGCUACACCAUAGACUGUGAGUUGCGAACGGGUGAGUAACGCGUAGGUAACCUGCCUGGUAGCGGGGGAUAACUAUUGGAAACGAUAGCUAAUACCGCAUAAUAUUAAUUAUUGCAUGAUAAUUAAUUGAAAGGUGCAAUUGCACCACUACCAGAUGGACCUGCGUUGUAUUAGCUAGUAGGUGAGGUAACGGCUCACCUAGGCGACGAUACAUAGCCGACCUGAGAGGGUGAUCGGCCACACUGGGACUGAGACACGGCCCAGACUCCUACGGGAGGCAGCAGUAGGGAAUCUUCGGCAAUGGACGGAAGUCUGACCGAGCAACGCCGCGUGAGUGAAGAAGGUUUUCGGAUCGUAAAGCUCUGUUGUAAGAGAAGAACGGGUGUGAGAGUGGAAAGUUCACACUGUGACGGUAUCUUACCAGAAAGGGACGGCUAACUACGUG
rnacentral:rRNA from 1 species